UUACAGCCAUAUCACGUUGAAACACCAGUUCUCGGACAAUCACAGAAGCUAAGCAAUGUUGAGCCUAGUCAGUAUAGAGAUGGGUGACCGCAUAGGAAUACUAGGUGGUGG